rnacentral:lncRNA from 1 species
UUCCAUAUAGCACUCCCCUCCAAGUAAAUCCUUAAGACCUUUGCAAAUGCUAUGCUGCAAAUUACUGCGAGCAACACGUAAAAACUUAUGUCUUUCAAGAAAACAUGAUAAUUCAAGACUAUCCACAGUAAUCCAAGCUGGUGAGUAGUUGUCAAGAAGAGAACAUAGAUAGAAGUGACAAAUGAGGCUCUCAAUCUUGAUAGGUCAAAGGGUGUCUCAAACAUCUCCUUCAGAGUCAUUUUCUUCUCUCUUGAAUGCAGCUUUGAAGCCAAAUCUACCGUAACAGCUGCAGAGACAAACUCUGAGACAUACAGAGGUACCAUGUAAACGAAACCAACAAAAAUCAGCUUCAGUAAAUAAUCCUCAUUAAAUCUGCUGAUAGGAUCUAGGAAGCUGUCGUAGCGAGUCAAGUGACCAUAUGACAGGUUUAAAAUACUGCAGGUUUCAACCAGGAUUUCUUGGAGGUAAAUUUCAAAGUAAACCAUGAUACAAAAGAGAGGAAGAGAAGUGAGAAAGGUGAAGAUGAUGAAAUUGAGAUUUCUUAAAUAGACCAUAACAGAUUUCCUGAGGAUAUCAGAUACUUCAAGCUCC